CCAAUCCCUCAGAUACAUUCUUCUGUUUUGUCUGCCUGCAGGAGAAAAGAAGGCAUGUUCCUAGUAAAGGUGCUCUGUUCACUGAGCACAAUAGAGAGUGGAAUAGUAAAAUCACAAGAAGUGAAGACAUUUAAGGAGGCAUCGAAACCCCUCAAAGGCCAUAUAGUUGCUGCUGACCUUCAGCUCCAACCCCUGCUCAGGUCUUGGCACAAACUGGCCCUAAGAGGGAGGGCUUGAAGGAGCACCAGCCCCACCCUUGGGGAAGUAACUCAUCUUCCUCAUCUGCCUGCCUGGGUCUCUGCUGCUGGCCAACACAUGCUUCUAAUAGUGGCUGUUUGGCUCUUGAAAGCUGAGAAUUCCCUGCCCCCACUUAGAGGUACCUGAUACCUUGUCUUGUCUGCAGAGCCAGGCUCACACAUCUCCUUGGUGACAUCUUUCCAAUUAUGCAUCCCACCCUCUUUACAGGAAAAGUGAGCAAGUUCUUCCUUUGGGCUCCUGUGACACCUUCAGCUUACCUCACAAUCUCUUUUGGGCCACACAAUGGCUUUCCGGGAGGAGAGUGCUUGGAAUGAUGGGACAUCAGGACACCCGUCACAGAAACACAUGACACAGCAGAGUGAAUAAAAGGACUUCUGUGUGGUGGGAGCAGUACCGUCCAUGAUCAUGAAUCAUGAAUCACCACCUGAUCAUGAAUCUCCAGGGCUUUGUCCACAGAAGUCGGAAUGGUGCUUCCGACUGCUCUAAGGCAGAGUGGGAAGACCACGUCUCAGCGCCCUCCAAGGCCGGUGUGUGCUACUACCGCGCGUGGGACUCUUGACAUCUAAGUAUACUCAGCCCUCACUGCAGCACCGCAUCCCACCAGCAGGAAGCGCUCCUCCUUCUCCAAAGAAUGAAUCUCCUUUCCUCUUCAGGGCCUUCCUCAUGAGGUUCCCAGGCCUUGAAAGCUCUUGCCCAUGGUGGCUUAUCUACGAUCCCCUCUCUAUGGGCUGAAAGCUCUAUGCAUGCUUUUUGUGCACAUCUGUUGGGUUUACUACCCUCUGUUUAGCACUUACGUGCUAAAGAUUUAGUACCUGGUACAUAAUCACCUGUUGAGUGACUCAGCUUUUAGGUGUUCUUUUCUGGCAGCCAAAUAGAGACUUCCUGCA
rnacentral:lncRNA from 1 species